UGGUAGUUUGAAGUAUAGAGUUGUUAUUUUGGAAUUUUCAUUUGUGUUGGUUGUGAUCGUCGUGUCAGGAGUUUUGGUGUCUAGGUUGAGGUUGUUGCUAUGUUUGUUGUCGAGAUAUCCUCUGCGUUGAUGCCAC